rnacentral:rRNA from 1 species
UACGGAGGGAGCUAGCGUUGUUCGGAAUUACUGGGCGUAAAGCGCACGUAGGCGGUCUGUCAAGUCGGAUGUGAAAUCCCCGCGCUUAACGUGGGAACUGCAUUUGAAACUGGCAGGCUAGAGUCUUGUAGAGGGGGGUAGAAUUCCAGGUGUAGCGGUGAAAUGCGUAGAGAUCUGGAGGAAUACCGGUGGCGAAGGCGGCCCCCUGGACGAAGACUGACGCUCAUGCACGAAAGCGUGGGGAGUAAACAGG